AGACCCGAAACCCGGUGAUCUAGCCAUGGGCAGGUUGAAGGUUGGGUAACACUAACUGGAGGACCGAACCGACUAAUGUUGAAAAAUUAGCGGAUGACCUGUGGCUGGGGGUGAAAGGCCAAUCAAACCGGGAGAUAGCUGGUUCUCCCCGAAAGCUAUUUAGGUAGCGCCUCGUGAAUUCAUCUCCGGGGGUAGAGCACUGUUUCGGCUAGGGGGCCAUCCCGGCUUACCAACCCGAUGCAAACUGCGAAUACCGGAGAAUGUUAUCACGGGAGACACACGGCGGGUGCUAACGUCCGUCGUGAAGAGGGAAACAACCCAGACCGCCAGCUAAGGUCCCAAAGUCAUGGUUAAGUGGGAAACGAUGUGGGAAGGCCCAGACAGCCAGGAUGUUGGCUUAGAAGCAGCCAUCAUUUAAAGAAAGCGUAAUAGCUCACUGGUCGAGUCGGCCUGCGCGGAAGAUGUAACGGGGCUAAACCAUGCACCGAAGCUGCGGCAGCGACACUAUGUGUUGUUGGGUAGGGGAGCGUUCUGUAAGCCUGUGAAGGUGGCCUGUGAGGGUUGCUGGAGGUAUCAGAAGUGCGAAUGCUGACAUAAGUAACGAUAAAGCGGGUGAAAAGCCCGCUCGCCGGAAGACCAAGGGUUCCUGUCCAACGUUAAUCGGGGCAGGGUGAGUCGACCCCUAAGGCGAGGCCGAAAGGCGUAGUCGAUGGGAAACGGGUUAAUAUUCCCGUACUUGGUGUUACUGCGAAGGGGGGACGGAGAAGGCUAUGUUGGCCGGGCGACGGUUGUCCCGGUUUAAGCGUGUAGGCUGGUUUUCCAGGCAAAUCCGGAAAAUCAAGGCUGAG
rnacentral:rRNA from 1 species